rnacentral:rRNA from 1 species
GACGAACGCUGGCGGCGUGCUUAACACAUGCAAGUCGAACGGAAAGGCCCUGCUUUUGUGGGGUGCUCGAGUGGCGAACGGGUGAGUAACACGUGAGUAACCUGCCCUUGACUUUGGGAUAACUUCAGGAAACUGGGGCUAAUACCGGAUAGGAGCUCCUGCUGCAUGGUGGGGGUUGGAAAGUUUCGGCGGUUGGGGAUGGACUCGCGGCUUGUCAGCUUGUUGGUGGGGUAGUGGCUUACCAAGGCUUUGACGGGUAGCCGGCCUGAGAGGGUGACCGGCCACAUUGGGACUGAGAUACGGCCCAGACUCGUACGGGAGGGAGCAGUGGGGAAUAGUGCAAAAUGGGCGGAAGCCUGAUGCAGCAACGCCGCGUGCGGGGUGACGGCCUUCGGGUUGUAAACCGCUUUCGCCUGUGACGAAGCGUGAGUGACGGUAAUGGGUAAAGAAGCACCGGCUAACUACGUG